CAGCCGCCGCGGGAAUACGAAGGGGGCUAGCGUUGUUCGGAAUUACUGGGCGUAAAGGGCGCGUAGGCGGCCAUUCAAGUUAGAUGUGAAAGCCCUGGGCUCAACCUAGGAAUUGCAUUUGAUACUGUUUGGCUUGAGUUCGGGAGAGGUAAGUGGAGCUGCGAGUGUAGAGGUGAAAUUCGUAGAUAUUCGCAAGAACACCAGUGGCGAAGGCGGCUUACUGGCUCGAAACUGACGCUGAGGCGCGAAAGCGUGGGGAGCAAAUGGGAUUAGAUACCCCCGUAGUCCCUGUCUCUUAUAC
rnacentral:rRNA from 1 species